AUUGAACGCUGGCGGCAGGCUUAACACAUGCAAGUCGAGCGGAUGAAGGGAGCUUGCUCCUGGAUUCAGCGGCGGACGGGUGAGUAAUGCCUAGGAAUCUGCCUGGUAGUGGGGGAUAACGUCCGGAAACGGGCGCUAAUACCGCAUACGUCCUGAGGGAGAAAGUGGGGGAUCUUCGGACCUCACGCUAUCAGAUGAGCCUAGGUCGGAUUAGCUAGUUGGUGGGGUAAAGGCCUACCAAGGCGACGAUCCGUAACUGGUCUGAGAGGAUGAUCAGUCACACUGGAACUGAGACACGGUCCAGACUCCUACGGGAGGCAGCAGUGGGGAAUAUUGGACAAUGGGCGAAAGCCUGAUCCAGCUAUGCCGCGUGUGUGAAGAAGGUCUUCGGAUUGUAAAGCACUUUAAGUUGGGAGGAAGGGCAGUAAGUUAAUACCUUGCUGUUUUGACGUUACCAACAGAAUAAGCACCGGCUAACUUCGUG
rnacentral:rRNA from 1 species